rnacentral:rRNA from 1 species
UAGGGAAUCUUCCACAAUGGACGCAAGUCUGAUGGAGCAACGCCGCGUGAGUGAAGAAGGUUUUCGGAUCGUAAAGCUCUGUUGUUGGUGAAGAAGGAUAGAGGUAGUAACUGGCCUUUAUUUGACGGUAAUCAACCAGAAAGUCACGGAUAACUACGUGCCAGCAGCCGCGGUAAUACGUAGGUGGCAAGCGUUGUCCGGAUUUAUUGGGCGUAAAGCGAGCGCAGGCGGAAGAAUAAGUCUGAUGUGAAAGCCCUCGGCUUAACCGAGGAACUGCAUCGGAAACUGUUUUUCUUGAGUGCAGAAGAGGAGAGUGGAACUCCAUGUGUAGCGGUGGAAUGCGUAGAUAUAUGGAAGAACACCAGUGGCGAAGGCGACUCUCUGGUCUGCAACUGACGCUGAGGCUCGAAAGCAUGGGUAGCGAACAGG